AGAUCAGCCCUGGGGUUCAGAGGGAUCCUGACGGCUACUCCUCAAGAUCCUCUCUGUUGUGAUUCAUCCCCCCCAGGCCCUACAGUUUCUCCUUCCUGACUCUUACAUUUCUUUGGAUGGCAUCACUAUUUACCUGUCUCCUCCCAUAGUUAGUUGCCAAGCACUGUGGAUUCUACCCCUCAGGGUCCAGACACCCAUUUUCCUUCCCACUGUUCCCUCCCCAUGGAGAAGCCUGUGGCUGACUGACAGCUCAACUUGGAGAAGGUGUUACCUGGGCCAGGUGGGGAAGGUAGGGUUGUUUGCAGAGCAAAGAAGUGAAGCCCUCCAUUCUAGUAUUCAAGACCUUUUGCAACUCAGAAUGAGUGCAUCUGAAAUUCUCAGAAUUGGGAAAAACAUAGCAGAUUUGAAUUGGCAUAUAAUAGGAUUUGCCAUAAGGAACUAUCAGUGUUAGGGAGGAAUUUCUGCAUAGUUGACCCUUGAACAACAUGGAUUUUAACUGCACAGAUGCACUUAUACGUGGAUUUUCUUCCACCUCUGCUAACCCUGAGACAGCAGAACCAACCCCUCCUCUUCUUCCUCCCCCUCAGCCUAUUCAAUGUGAAAAAGAUGAGGGCGAAGACCUUUAUGAUGAUCCAAGUAAUGAACACACUGGAGAAAGUCAAACAGUCAAAACAAUGUCCCAGACUCCGUGAAGUUCCUGGGUAGAGAAGUAGACAGACGUACACCAUACCUAAUAAUUGGAGGUCCAAGAGAAUGAGAGA
rnacentral:antisense_RNA from 1 species